GCGCUCCAUACGCUCAGCCUCAUGGUGAAGCCCCGCCCCCCCAUGCAUCACAGCCACUCACCUCCCAUUAGAAAGCUGUCGGCAACAAGUACGAGAAUUAAAAUCUCUCCUUUCCUCAUUCCUCGGCCGUGUUUCAUUUCCUGUAACUUAUUGGAAGGAAAUAAUGAGAAUGUCUUUUCUUGUAAACACCAGAUCUCUGAUUGGUUCCCCGUGGCGCUGUAGCUCCUCCCUGAAGGCUGCUGGUGUUUAUGGGUUCAGCUUAAAAACACAACCGAGAACAAAAGAUGUCGACUGUCUGUCUGCUGGAGCUCAACCGCCUCAUCGUGUCAUCAGGAGCCGAGCAGCUGACACACAAGCCAGGCCUCGCUGUCGUCUCAGCGGGUAUCCAAGGCCGAGAUGUGCAGACUCUCGGAAAAAUAUACGUCCACGGCGUUUACCUGUCAGAGGCCCAGUGAAGUUCCCCAGGACGGAGCCUUGAGGGACCCCAGGAUGGAGCCUUGAGGGACCCCAGGACGGAGCCUUGAGGGACCCCAGGAUGGAGCCUUGAGGGACACCAGGACGAAGCCUUGAGGGACCCCAGGACGGAGCCUUGAGGGAUCCCAGGAUGGAGCCUUGAGGGACCCCAGGACGGAGCCUUGAGGGACCCCAGGAUGGAGCCUUGAGGGACCCCAGGACGGAGCCUUGAGGGACCCCAGGAUGGAGCCUUGAGGGACCCCAGGACGGAGCCUUGAGGGACCCCAGGAUGGAGCCUUGAGGGACCCCAGGACGGAGCCUUGACGGACCCCAGGACAAGCUCGGUGUGGGUCAAACAAACAGGACUUUCACCCUGGAGCCCGGUUGACUCAUUUAAAUUCACUCAUUCUAGGUUAAAUAAUAUAACGAGCAAGUACAUGUGUUGCCUGAACCCCU